UCCAGACUCCUACGGGAGGCAGCAGUGGGGGAUAUUGCACAAUGGGGGAAACCCUGAUGCAGCGACGCCGCGUGAGUGAAGAAGUAAUUCGUUACGUAAAGCUCUAUCAGCAGGGAAGAAAAUGACGGUACCUGACUAAGAAGCCCCGGCUAACUACGUGCCAGCAGCCGCGGUAAUACGUAGGGGGCAAGCGUUAUCCGGAAUUACUGGGUGUAAAGGGAGCGUAGACGGCUGUGCAAGCCAGAUGUGAAAGCCCGGGGCUCAACCCCGGGACUGCAUUUGGAACUGUGUGGCUGGAGUGUCGGAGAGGCAGGCGGAAUUCCUAGUGUAGCGGCGAAAUGCGUAGAUAUUAGGAGGAACACCAGUGGCGAAGGCGGCCUGCUGGACAUUAACUGACGCUGAGGCGCGAAAGCGUGGGGAGCAAACAGGAUUAGAUACCCCUGUA
rnacentral:rRNA from 1 species